AGCAGCAUGGCGCAGCUGGAAGCGCGCGGGGCCCAUACUCUUUAUUAGAGACACCCCGAGGUCACUUGAUCGAAACAAGUUGCUGCUA
rnacentral:tRNA from 1 species